rnacentral:tRNA from 1 species
GCGGGGGUACCCAAGUGGUCAAGCACAAGACCACACGAAGCGUGUGGUCAAGGGCUAAAGGGGCUGGGUUAAGGACCCAGUAGCUUAGUGCUUUCCAGGGUUCGAAUCCCUGCCCCCGCA